rnacentral:tRNA from 1 species
GCGAACAGUUGCGUGCAACCUAGGUCGGACUUCUAAUCCGCCGGUCGCAGGUUCGAAUCCUGCCGGGCGCG